rnacentral:tRNA from 1 species
UCCCUGGUGGCUCAGACAGUAAAGAAUCUGCCUGCAAUGCAGGAGAUCCAGGUUCGAUUCCUGGGUUGGAAA